rnacentral:rRNA from 1 species
GACGAACGCUGGCGGCGUGCUUAACACAUGCAAGUCGAACGGAAAGGCCCUGCUUUUGUGGGGUGCUCGAGUGGCGAACGGGUGAGUAACACGUGAGUAACCUGCCCUUGACUUUGGGAUAACUUCAGGAAACUGGGGCUAAUACCGGAUAGGAGCUCCUGCUGCAUGGUGGGGGUUGGAGAGUUUCGGCGGUUGGGGAUGGACUCGCGGCUUAUCAGCUUGUUGGUGGGGUAGUGGCUGACCAAGGCUUUGACAGGUAGCCGGCCUGGGAGGGUGACCGGCCACGUUGGGACGGGGAUACGGCACAGACUCCUACGGGACGCAGCAGUGGGGAAUAUUGCACAAUGGGCGGAAGGCUGAUGCAGUAACGCCGCGUGCGGGAUGACGGCCUUCGGGUUGUAAACCGCUUUCGCCUGUGACGAAGAGUGAGUGACGGUAAUGGGUAAAGAAGCACCGGCUAACUACGUG